UUACAUAAAUUUUCACCUUACAGAUAACUUACAUGUUUCUCACUGUCCUGAGUUCCACGGGACAUGGGGAAGCUCUAGGAGACGGCUCCCCUUGGGAUCAUGUAUUACGUGGAUCCAAAGGCUGGGGGAAUUCCGCCAGACCCAACCUGCAGCCAGGAAUACCAAUUCCUAGAAGCUCCCUCCUACAGAGAACUCAACUGAAGGGUCGUGAAGAAGCUGGAUGUUAGGGCUCUUUCAUUCAAUUUCUGUACUCCUUGGCAAGUGGAGUAGCGCUUAAAUCGAGAUCGCAAUCCCGUGUUAAAUGUAUUGUGAACGCAAUUUGACAUUAUUGGCCUCUGGGAGCAAUCCCAGGAUGCUCCCUUGUGACCGCUCUGGAUAACACUCUCAACUCCAAUGCAGUAGCCAGGUGGGCAGGAAAAGCCCUGGCAACUUUUGAAUUUCAUUUCCUGUUUGCUCACGAGCAGCACAGGUGACCAUCAGCACAGUCCACCAUCACAGGCGACCAUGCAGAGUCCAUCAUCACAAGAGAUCACGCCGUCCCGGAUUCGCAGAUGAGCUCCACCAUGGUCUGAACAGGAGGUACUGGAUCUCAUCGCAUGCUGGGGAGACGAGUCUGUUAUGGCAGAACUACGUUCCAAAAAAAGGAACGCAAAUACCUACGCUAAAGUCUCCAGGGCCAUGACGGAAAGGUGCUACUCCAGGGACACAGAGCAGUGUCAUGCAAAAAUCAAGGAGCUCAGGCAAGCGUACCAAAAAGCCAGGGAGGCAAACGGGUGCUCUGGGUCACAGCCCCAUACAUUCCGCUUUUACCGUGAGCUCCAUGUAAUUAUGGGGGGUGAUGCCACCACUACCCCACCACUGUCCGUGGACAGCUGCAAGGGGGGAGUUGCAUGGAGCGAGGAGGAAGAGACAUUGGAGGACGAGGAGGAGGAGGACAGUGCACAGGUGGCAAGUGGGGAAUCCAUUUUCCCCCCUAGCCAGGAACUAAUCUUAACGCUGGAUCCAAUAGCCUCCCCUGACUCCCAAGGCGGGCUCCUGGUCCAUGACCCUGGAGAAGGUGCAAAUAUUUCAAUGCGGCCCCUAUCUACUCUGUCCAGAGGCUAGUCCAGAUUAGAAGAUGGAAAAAAUGAAUUUGGGAUGACAUGUUCGCUGAGCUCAUGCAAUCCUCCCGCACUGAUAGGGCCCAGCUGAAUGCAUGGAGGCAAACAAUUGUAGAGUCCCGUAAAGCAUUACAGGAACACGAAGAGAGGAGGGACAUGGGUGAUGAGAGCAGGCAGGAUGCUAUGGUCAAGCUCAUGGGGGAGCAAACUGACAUGCUCCACUGUAUGGUGGAUCUAAUGCGGGAAAGGCAGCAAGACCAUAGACUUCCGCUGCAGCCCCUGUAUAAUCAAACUCCCUGCUCCCCAAGUUCCAUAGCCUCCUCACCCAGACGCCCAAGAACAGGGGGGAGGCUACGGGGAUCCAAACACUCAACCCCAGAGGAUCGCCCAAGCACCAGAAAGCUGGCAUAUGCAAAUUUUUGAUUUGGUUUCUGGACUUGUCCUUCCCUGCUCCUCCACCCCCCCUAACACAACCCCCCUCUCCCCAGUCUACCUUCUAAUUUCUCUCAAUGCGUUGUGCAUCAAAUA